CGCCUUGCCAGCCCGCUACAGAAACUUAAAUGAAUUGACGGGGCCCGCACAAGCGGUGGAGUAUGUGGUUAAUUCGAUGCAACGCGAAGAACCUUACCUGGUCUUGACAUCCCGGAGACCCUUAGGAAACUAGGGGGUGCUUCCAUCUGGAAGAAUCUGGAGACAGGUGCUGCAUGGCUGUCGUCAGCUCGUGUCGUGAGAUGUUGGGUUAAGUCCCGCAACGAGCGCAACCCUUGCCUUUAGUUGCCAGCAGUUCGGCUGGGCACUCUAAAGGGACUGCCGGUGUUAAACCGGAGGAAGGUGGGGAUGACGUCAAGUCCUCAUGGCCUUUAUGACCAGGGCUACACACGUACUACAAUGGCCGAUACAAAGGGCAGCGACACUGCGAGGUGAAGCCAAUCCCGUAAAAUCGGUCUCAGUCCGGAUUGGAGUCUGCAACUCGACUCCAUGAAGUUGGAAUCGCUAGUAAUCGUGGAUCAGCAUGCCACGGUGAAUACGUUCCCGGGCCUU
rnacentral:rRNA from 1 species